GUAAUGAUAAAUAAUGCUGUAAUGAUAAAUAAUGCUGUAAUGAUAAAUAAUGCUGUAAUGAUAAAUAAUGCUGUAAUGAUAAAUAAUAUGUAAUGAUAAAUAAUGCUGUAAUGAUAAAUAUGUUAAUGAUAAAUCAUGCUGUAAUGAUAAAUAAUAUGGUAAUGAGAAUGAUACAUAAUGCUGUAAUAACCUACAUUUUGUUAACAGUAUUGUGAUAGGCUCAUGUUUUACUGGCACUGGCUUACCCACACUAUUCCUGUACCAGACCUCUUUACUUUCUCACCUGGUUAUUGUUUUCAAAUGGGUAUUAUUGGCACUGGGAGAUAAACGUAACACUAAAUAUACACAUUUCCAGACAUUAAUGCACAAACAGUAUUUUUGGCCAUUUAUGCCUCACUUUACUACCAGCAGUAGAGAACAAUAGACUUGCUUUCUAAUUUGAAGUGCAUGAUGGCGUUGACACUCUCGGGCCCGUCUACUGUGCAUUCUAAUUUAAAUUCCAGCGUGUGAAAGCUCUUAAAAAUACAAUUUUCGAUUGAUUUGGUGGUUAAACAAGCUUCACUUGAAAAUCAAGAGAAAAAGCGGCAAUAGUAUUGUAAUGAAACAACAGGGAGCAGGUCUCGAACCCUCGACCUUCCAGCCCAAAGUCGACUGAGUCGAUAUCCGCUCUAAUAAACCAAGGGUCGUUACAGUAUUGUUUGUCAAUUUUGAGACGCUAUAGCCAAUAGGCCUACACUUCCUCCUCAACAAAAUCAGAAUUUCUAAGGUAACUGAAGAAUUUAGUCACGCCAUUUUACAUGUAAGAUGUUUGGUGCAGUAUUUUUCAAUGACAAAAAAUUUAAAACGACUCCUCUCUCGUUGAAUGACCCAACUGUUGAUCAAUCACCCACGAAGGGGCGUAGACUACCAAUCUCGUUUUGGCUCCAGAAAGAAAUGUUGUGUGCCCGAACAGCGAGAGGCAUUAACUCUGGCCUAAUGACAAUCACCAACUAGCUAGCUACAUUCUUUAUAAACCACUAGGGUAUAUCAGCUACAACUCUCCUCAUGUUCCUGAGCCAACAGGAGGCAGGUACUGUGAGACUAGCUACAUUCUUUAUAAACCACUAGGGUUGAGGCCUAUCAGCUACAACUCUCAUGUUCCUGAGCCAACAGGAGGCAGGUACUGUGAGACUAGCUACAUUCUUUAUAAACCACUAGGGUAUAUCAGCUACAACUCUCCUCAUGUUCCUGAGCCAACAGGAGGCAGGUACUGUGAGACUAGCUACAUUCUUUA
ensembl:lncRNA